CACCCUAUCUCGGCGCGUGGCCCCGCCCCCGCUCCAGGACGCGAGGGCGUGUGGAGGGACGCGCUCGCAGCCGAUUGAUCUGUUUUGAGUUGAAAAGGAUUCCACUUAAAAAACAUCUCCUACAGUGAUGUUGGUGCCUAGAACCAGAUCUAAAAGAAGGAAGCCACAUUAGAGGCAAAAG